rnacentral:rRNA from 1 species
UCUGACCUCAAAUCAGGUAGGAAUACCCGCUGAACUUAAGCAUAUCAAUAAGCGGAGGAAAAGAAACUAACAAGGAUUCCCGUAGUAACUGCGAGUGAAGUGGGAAAAGCUCAAAUUUGAAAUCUGGCAGUCUGAUUUUUCAUCUUGGCUGUCCGAAUUGUAAUCUAGAGAAGUGCUACCUGUACUGGACCGUGUAUAAGUCUCCUGGGAUGGAGCAUCAUAGAGGGUGAGAAUCCCGUCUUUGACAUGGACUCCCAGUGCGUUGUGGUAUACUUUCAAAGAGUCGAGUUGUUUGGGAAUGCAGCUCUAAAUGGGUGGUAAACUCCAUCUAAAGCUAAAUAUUGGCGAGAGACCGAUAGCGAACAAGUACCGUGAGGGAAAGAUGAAAAGUACUUUGGAAAGAGAGUUAAACAGUAUGUGAAAUUGUUGAAAGGGAAACACUUGAUGUCAGUUGUGUUAGCUAGGAUUCAACCUGGCUUUUUCUA